AUUGAACGCUGGCGGCAGGCUUAACACAUGCAAGUCGAGCGAGCGGCGGCCGGGUGAGUAAUGUCUGUGAAACUGCCUGAUGGAGGGGGAUCACUACUGGAAACGGUAGCUAAUAACGCAUACCAUCAAAUGUGCCCAGAUGGGAUUAGCUAGUAGGUGGGGGAAUGGCUCACUUAGGCGACGAUCCCUAGCUGGUCUGAGAGGAUGACCAUCCACAAUGGAAAGGAGACACGGUCCAGACUCCUAAGGGAGGCAGCAGUGGGGAAUAUUGUACAAUGGGCGCAAGACUGAUGCAGCCACGCCGCGUGUAUGAAGAAGGCCUUCGGGUUGUAAAGUACUUUCAGCGGGGAGGCGUUACCCGCAGAAGAAGCACCGGCUAACUUCGUGCCAGCAGCCGCGGUAAUAC
rnacentral:rRNA from 1 species